CGGUGGAGUAUGUGGUUUAAUUCGAUGCAACGCGAAGACCUUACCUGGUCUUGACAUCCCGGAGACCCUUAGGAACUAGGGGUGCUUCCAUCUGGAAGAAUCUGGAGACAGGUGCUGCAUGGCUGUCGUCAGCUCGUGUCGUGAGAUGUUGGGUUAAGUCCCGCAACGAGCGCAACCCUUGCCUUUAGUUGCCAGCAGUUCGGCUGGGCACUCUAAAGGGACUGCCGGUGUUAAACCGGAGGAAGGUGGGGAUGACGUCAAGUCCUCAUGGCCUUUAUGACCAGGGCUACACACGUACUACAAUGGCCGAUACAAAGGGCAGCGACACUGCGAGGUGAAGCCAAUCCCGUAAAAUCGGUCUCAGUCCGGAUUGGAGUCUGCAACUCGACUCCAUGAAGUUGGAAUCGCUAGUAAUCGUGGAUCAGCAUGCCACGGUGAAUACGUUCCCGGGCCUU
rnacentral:rRNA from 1 species